GUGUCUACAUACACUGACAUUCAGGAACUAUCUCUUGCAUCAGGCUUCCAUUUUGCUCUAACCUGCAGCCUUUACUGCAUGCCAAUGAGAAUAUUUCUCAGACACAGUGCAUCCUGUUUUGCUGGGCUGGCAGGUACCUCCUGCUCUCUGCUUCUGCUUUUCUGAAGACACAAUGCAAACCCAACCCUUGCUGGUCUCUCUUCGGAAGGCACAGGUGAGAGGCAAUUUGGUAUCACAGGAACCCUUCACACUCUGAAGUAAAGCUGUGGUCUCAGUCAGCUGAAGCGAUCCCACUUAUAGUGCCUUGAAGCUUAACACUUAUAGCCUAUCUCAAGGUAAGUACAAGAGUAAAAUAAUUGUUUUUUAGGCCAGAAAACCAAGACCUGAUUGAAAGAGUAGAAAGGUGAAUAAACCCAACCCAAACCAAAAGAACAAAUCCAAACAAUGUCUUCCUCUUGCAGUCCAAAAACAUUAUGGAAUGCUGGAGUGAUUAGGGACAUACAUAAUUGGUAAGAUCAGGUAGAAAGUUUUUCUCAGUAGGUGAAAACGGUACCUCUGCACACAAUUAUGUUUAAAGUCAGUUCUCAUUACAUAUCCUGAGGAAUCACAUAAAUCAGGACCUGCAAUUAACAACCAAAAAAAAAUACUGUCCAGGUGUGGCCCAGAGCUGAUUACUGAUGCAGCUGGAAUCCUUGAGCAUGAGAUCCAGUAGGAUGCUGCACCUCUGUCCUCUGUGGGAAGGGAAAUACACUUUUACGUAGUGAUGCCACGUUCCAGACGUUAUUUUUAUUUGCAUAUCACAUACCAGGCACAGGAAAAGAGAAAUGGCUCACAGCAUGAAAUGGGCUGGCUCUGGCUGAACACCUCUGCCGUGGAAGCAAGCGCACCUGUUUGGAGAUGUAUUUAGCCAAAGGCCAAACUCUACCAUUCAGAGGAAAUUUAUUUCAUCACCUAGCAACCUCACUGUUCUUCACAGUGGAAUAAACAACCAGAACAAUGUGCUGUACUAGAAAAGGAAACACAAGAGUUUAUGACAAUCAGUUUCAGAAGAAGGAAAAUACUCCAACAGAUAAUUUUUUUUUGCAUUCACAAGAUCAAUACAUUCACGACAAGGUUAUUAAAAUACAAUCCAAAGUAACUGGGAACAAAUUCUACUUCAUCUUCAGACAGCUACAGUGA
rnacentral:lncRNA from 14 species